UACCAGCACCCCGAGCGGUCGGGACGAUUAUUGGGCCUAAAGCAUCCGUAGCCGGUUUUACAAGUCCUCCGUUAAAUCCAGCUGCUUAACAGAUGGGCUGCGGAGGAUACUAUAAGACUAGGAGGCAGGAGAGGCAAGCGGUACUCAGUGGGUAGGGGUAAAAUCCGUUGAUCCAUUGAAGACCACCAGUGGCGAAGGCGGCUUGCCGGAAUGCGCUCGACGGUGAGGGAUGAAAGCUGGGGGAGCAAACCGG
rnacentral:rRNA from 1 species